AAUUUUUUGCUACCCAUUUCUAAAGGAGUUUCAUCUUCUCUUUUCUCUCAAUCUGGCUGCCUUGGCCGAAGUUUCUCCUGGCAAACGUAAUCUGGAACUCCUCCCAAUAGGUAAUGGCUUUCUCCCCUCUUCAGAGCCUCUUUCGCAAGAACAUGGGCAUAUGUAUUCUCUUUUUUAGGGAUAAACUGAAACCCUAUCUCUUGAAAUUUAACUUUUUUGUUUUGGAUAUCUCUGAUGAGUGCUCCAAUGGCUGAUUUGUCAAGAUCUGUACUUUGGCAUUUCUUUAUAAUCUCCCAUUAUUUCCAGUUUGUUUAAGCUCAUAUAAAUUCCUAAUCUCAUGGCUUGUAAUCCUGCAUGUGCUUCCGUAGCAAACGAAAUUGCUAUAUCGGAGUGAAUGACCGUCUUAGAUGCUAAGAUCUCGCCCCCCACAUCUCGUACAAUCAAACCCGAAGCAUAUUUGAAGGAUUGCUGGUCAAAGGCUGCAUCAAAAUAGAUUGUUACCCUUGUUCUUCGAUUAACAUGUUGAAGGCCUUUGCCAGCCUGAAAGGUGAGUUUCUUUUUUUUUAUUCCAUCCAACUCAGAGAUGUAACUGUAUAUUUGCUUCAAAAUGUAUCUUCCUGUCACAUUUUUUCUUUCAUACAGUAACCGAUUUCUAUUGGACCAGAUUAGCCAAAGCCCGCAACAGAAAAGUCAACAUUGUUCACUAAUCCCUCGACUAAAGACCUAGGUAAGCUAUUCCCACAUACUGUGAAUAUCGUUGUUAAGAACCUAGGAAAGAUAUAAGUAAAUCCAAACAUCCAUUAUAGGAUACUGUCGAAAAAUAUGGUUACUAUCUUCCUUAUAUUGACGACACCGAGGGCAUUGAGCAUCCAUCGCCACUUUCUUAUGCUUAAGGUUGACGAGUAGGAAUAAAAUUCCAGGAGAUUCUCCAUACUGGUAUUGUAACUUUUGAGGGGAUGUAUAAAUUCCAUAGUUUCCUGUAGAAAUUUUUUGUUUCGGCUUGUAUAAUAUAAUUACUAGGACCAAGUUAGUCUCCUGUAAUAGUUUAUAGGCACUUCUGAGAGUUCGCCUCUCCACACUUGAAAAUUGUCAUAUGUUAUCUCCGCCAGAGGAAUCUGCAUGAUUUUUUUUUGCAAUAUCUGUAUGAAAGGUAUUCAUAAUAACAUCUGUUUUCCAGGUCUUGUCAAUAGCCUCAUUUAAAUCCGAUACUAACUUGAUGUUUUCAUUGUUGUCUUGGUUCUGUAAUCUGUCUGCCUCUUCUUCCGAAAUUCAUAAAUCAUCCCAAACGAAAAUUUGAUCCCCCGUUCCAACCCUCCAGCAUAGACCUUUCUACAGAAGUCCUCUUGUUGCCCAUACAUUUUUCCAGGUAAGCGAAGGUAAAUUCCCUAACCUAGCAUUAUAGAAAUUCGAGUUAGGAUAAUAUUUUGCCUUCAAGACACGGGCUAAUAAAGAAUUUGGAAAAUUAAUAAGACGCCAACCCUGCUUUGCUAAUAACACUAUGUUAAAUUUUUCAAAAUUUCGAAAAUCAAGACCACCAUCUUAUUUUAACGAGCAUAGUUCCUGCCAAGCACACCAAUGGAUGCCUUUUUUAUCUCGACCUUUUUGCCACUAAAAUUUAGCUAUAGUACCUUCCAAAUCAGCACAUAAAGAUUUAGGGAGUAAAAAACAAGCCAUAGUAUAAAUUGGAAUGGAUUGUAGUAUAGCCUUUAUGAAAACCUUUUUUCCUCCUUAAGAGAGAUGCCUUAUACUCCAGUUAUCAAUUCGUUGUUCAAAUUUGUCCUUUCAAGACUUGAAAAAACGAUUUCUUGUUUCUUCCCACCAUAUUAGGGAGACCAAGGUACCGUUUUGAGUUAUUUGAUCUACGCACUCCAAGUACAUUAGAAACUAUUAUUUUUUCCCCAUCCUACAUAUUAGUACCGAAAAAUACUGUUCCCUUAUCAAAGUUAACACAAUAAUCUGAACAAAUCUCAUAUUCUUUCAAAAUCUGCUUUAGAGAAUGUGUUCCUCUUUCAGUAUCAUCUGUUUGCUUGUACUCUUCUUAGUAUAUUUUCUUUUAUUGCAAGCCUCAUAAGACUAGAGAGGCCUUCCCCACAAAAUAAAAAUAGAAACGGACUCAAGGGAUCUCCCUGUCUUAAUCCUCUAGUCGGAUGAAAAAUUUCCCCAAUGUGUCCAUUGAAAACCACCGAGUACGAUAUUGUAGAUGCACAUUUCAUUAAAGAAUCAACCCAUCUAGAAUCAAAACCCAUUCUCUUCAUUAUUUCUUCCACAAAAUUUCAUUCAACCCUGUUGUAUGCUUUGUUCAUAUCUAAUUUUACCACCAUAAACCCUUUUUUCCCCACCUUCUUGUGCUUUAAUGUGUGUAAAAUUUCAUAAGCCAGUAACACAUUAUAAAAAAUCAAUCUCCCAGGUACAAAAGCACUUUGUGCUAAAUCAAUACAUUUAUCAACCACUACCCGAAGACGAUUAGCAAUGACUUUAGCUAUCAAUUUAUAAAGCACAUUACAUAAGCUAAUUGGUCUAAAUUGAGUAAUACUAGAAGGGUUUGAAUUUUUCAGUAUUAGCAUAAUAUUUGUUUUAUUGAUCGAAUUUAUAUCCAUAUCUUCAUUCAGUCAUUGAAGACAAAAGGCUGAAAUAUCUUCUCCGAUGAUCGGCCAACACUUUGAUAAAAUAAGGCCGGAAAAUCGUUCUCUCCUGGUGUUUUUGUGGGACCUAAUUCUGAUAAUGCUUCUUGUAUCUCCUCCUUAGUGUAACUCACUUUUAGCCUAAAAUUGUCUUCAUCAGAAAUACAACAAUCGAUCCCUGACAAAAUAUGUACAUAAUUUCCUUACCUCCCAGCUGAAAAUAAUCUCUGAAAAUACGAUCUAGCAAUUUCUUCCAUUUCCCUAACCUUUUCCUUCUCCCUACCAUUAUCAAACUGCAUUUUGCGAAUAAAAUUUCUUCUUCUCCUCUGUGUCGCUUGCUUAUGAAAAAACGUGGUAUUUCUAUCUCCAAAUUUCAGCUAGUUUACUCGAGCUCUCUAUUCCCAGUAGCACUCAUCAUUCUUAAUCUCAAAAUUUAGUUGUAUCUUUGUGUCAGUGAGUUCUGGCAAGUUUUCAUCAUUUCUAUCGGAUUCCAACAAUUUUGUCAAUUUAGAAGUUAAUGCCUCCUUUUUUAUUUUCAUGCUGCACCGAAUUUGAUUAGCCCACCUCUCUAAGCCUUUCUUCAUACUUUCUAACUUGCUCAGUAGAUCUCCUGUGGAAUUCUCCCAAAUGUACCUAACCUCCUCAACAAAUGUUCCCUCCAAAACCCCCAAUCUUCAAACUUAAAACUUUUAUUAAAUUGCCCUUUAACUUCACGUUCUGUAGUAAUGAAUACAGGACAAUGGUUUGAAAAAGAAUGAAGAAGGUGUUGAAUUAAGGAAUCUGAAAAUAAAGAUAUCCAUUCUUCAGUGGCCACUCCUCUAUCUAAUCUUUCUUGAAUGUUCGUUUUCGACAAAUUUCCUCUCCCUAAGUGAGCCAGUUUCCUGAAUAACCCAUAUAAACUAGAUUACAAUCUUCCAAUGCCUUUUGAAAAGCUUUUAUUUGUCUCUCCUCUCGAGGUAAGCCUCCAUUCUUUUCAAAACCAUACAUAAUUUCAUUAAAGUCCCUACAAACUAGCCAUGGAGACUCUCCAUCAUUAUGUAAGUGUCCUAAAAGAUGCUAUGAUUCAUUCUUGUCCUGUGUGUAGGGAGAACCACAAAAACCAGUAAAUCUCCACUUGUUUCUAUCAUCUGUAUCUUCGAUUAUCACAUCAAUAUGUCAGUUUGAAAAACUCUGGAGCGUAAUAUUAACAUCCCCACGCCAUGCUAAACAUAAUCCUCAUCUAAAACCAAUCGAUUCAACAUUGAUACCAUUAUGAAAACCACAACUCCUUUGAACUCUUUCCAUCUGACUUCUGUUAAUUUUUGUCUCCAUGAAGAAGACCAUAUGAGGAUUGUAUAACUUCAGCAAAUGCCGAAGUCUUCGAAAUGCCUGUGUAUUCUCCAAUCCAUGGGCAUUCGAACUUAAGAUUUUUAUUGCGCCCAGUCGGCUUGCCUCUUGGCAGUCGCCGAUGAUAAAUGAUUAAUUUCCAACAACCUUCUAUUUUUAACCACCAUAAUGUUGUUUUCUUCAAUCUCCCCCCAGCUCUCUUUUCCCUCUCCUCUACUAUUAACACAUCAUCUUCUAGAUCAUGAUCCAUUGCAGUUUGAGCUUGACCUGUCAAUAAAUUUUCCUUCAUUGGCGUGAAGAGAACGUUCUUCCUUCCAAAUUAAAACCUAAAAUAGGGUCAAUAACCUUGUAAUACCCUUGUUUUUUGCCUACUCCCCACCCACUGUUGCCUUGUGUUCGUUCGUCUGUGCUGUUUCCACCUAGUACUCCUUCUCCUUCCUCACGUAGCCAAACUCUAUUCAUUGCUUAGGCUCUUCGAGAUUGUGCUCGCAAUGAUUAGUCCCAACCCAUCUAAGUGAUUUCUACCCCUAAUGCCACAUUUGUUUCACAAAAAGAGUCACUAUGACCUAAACGACCACAAUAGAAACAAAAAAGGGAAAUCUUUCAUACUUAAAUCUGACAUAUGAGUAUUUCCCACAAAACAUAACUUGUUUCUUCCUUUUAAGAGGACGCCGAAUAUCUAUUUGGACUUGUAUUCUCAUAAAUUUUGAUUUUCUUUCCCCAGAUUCGAACCAUCAUACUCCAUAAAAUUUCCUAUGAAAUUACCCAAUUGUAUAGCCAGAUUAUCAAAGAAAAAAACCUAUGAGAAUAGCAUGAAUUUGUACCCAGAAAGGUGUUAAAAUUAAAGGGACUUUUAAUGGGUUAUCCCCCACUUGCAGCUUGUAUAACACCAAUAAAUGAUUAUUAAAAGUCCAUGGUGAUCCCUUCAAAACCCUUUCUAUAUUUAUAACAUGAAAAAAUUGAAAUAAAUACCUUUUCUCCCCCAGAUCUCGAAUUUGAACAUCCCGAACAAGGUGCCAUAAGUUAGCCAUAGUGUUUUUCAUUGCUAGGAAGUGAAUAAUACUGGUCGUUAAAAAACACUCCACCAAUCUAAAGGCCCCUUUUUCUCUUUUCGUAUUCGGAUAUACUUGUAUUUGUAAAAUUGCUUCUUCUUCUUCAUUAAGCGUUAAUCUAGCAAAGUCAGUUUCCAUGGAUGCAG
rnacentral:lncRNA from 1 species